rnacentral:lncRNA from 1 species
GAAUCACAUCCCUAUUCUUUUUUGGAAAUACAGGUUAGCAUGUCUGAAUUAUAUUCCACCUCCACAAGAGGGGAAAAAUUAUAGUUAGUCCAUUCUGUAGAGGCAAAAUAUAAAAACUGGGACUAAUUCAUAACUUAAAUAGUCCUACUAGCAAAACAACAACAACAACAAAAAAGGGGGGGCUUUUGAGCUGUGUGAAAAGUUAAAAAAAGGUAUGUAAAGAAAGAUUUCCUUUGGACUCGCCAUUCAUCUCUGACUAGCACUGAGUCAUUACAUCAUUCAUUCAGGGGAAUGAUAAAUUGUGAGUCUUAAACAUGCAAUUAUGCGCACGUGUAAAAGCUCCCCUCCCCCUAUUCACUGCUAAACUUCCCUACCCUUAACCAUUUGUAGCAUUCAUCAAGGCCAGCAAAGGAGAGAAUAUGCUAGGAUGAAAGUCAGUCUUCUGUGCCUUAACUGCAGAAUUGAUAUUCCAUCACUUUUGCCUUCUUCUGUUGGUUAGAAGCCAAUAGCUACGCUAGCCUACAGUCAAGGAGAGGAGAUUACACAAAGAUGCAAAUACCAGGAGACUGGGAUCUCUGGGGACCAUCUUUGAGUCUGACGGUCACAGUUAAUCAUUUUUGUUUGGUCAAAGAAAUAUAAGAGUCUUCCAACCUCUUUUAUUCUUUCCUGAAGCUAUUCUCGAAGCUUAUAUUUGCUUUCUUGGUUUAUCGCACAUGGUAUAUAUGUCUUCCUUGGCCUCAGGUAUAUGUCAGUCAAUUUUAUUUCUAUGGCCUACUGAUUUUUCCCACCCCAGGUCCAUGACCUCAUGGCUGCUCCUAGGCCACAUUUGUAUAUUCCCACAUGGCUCUAAAGUAAUAACAUAGGUCAGAUCACUAAUAAAUAGUUGGUUAAAACAUGCUAAAAAAUAACAUAUUUCACUCUCAUUGCAAUUCUUUCAUCUAUUCCUCUAAAUCCUGGAGCACCCAGGUUACUUUCCAUAUAUCUUAGUCAUCUCUGUCUCAAUGCAUUUCUCUGGUGCUCUUCUCAGCUGUAACCUCUGUCCUUUCUUCCUACCUUAAUCUUGCUCAUAUUUUAAGUUUAAAUUCAACUGUUCUUGAUGAGGCUUUCUCCCUUUCUAAGCUUACUAAUUUCUCCUUUUUAACUAACGAAGUAUCAAUAAUUUACACUGUACCAGUUAUCACUUGAUUGUAAAUUAUUUUGAACCAUUGUCCAAUUGUUUGAAAUUUAUGAGUCUCCUUUCUCCAAUAAGUUCUUCUAUCAAUAUUUCUCACUACAGUAUAACCAAGGAUAAUUUGUCUUAGUCACCACAAAUGUUUAAUGAAAUAUUGUUCCACCGUCUUUCUUAGGGAAGUCAGGCUUGUGUUUAGUCUCUCUCCUCAAUACCUAACACAUGGCUGAGUACAUAUAAUAUAUUCAGUAAAUGCUUGUUGACUUGGUAUGGGAAACUAGUAAAUGUUUAAGGUGUGUAAAAAAUUUCAUUAAGUAUAUUUUCAACGUCUUAAAAUGAUAAAGGGUACACCUCACUAGAAUAAGUGUCUGUGUUGUAAUGUAUGAACUGUGUGUGAGCUCUUCAGAGAGAUUCUAUGUAAAUUUAAGAAAUAAAUAGAAUUUGUAUGAUGUCCCAGAUUUGUUUUCAAAACGCAGGAAAAUACUUGGCUAUUGUAAAUACACUGCACUGAACAUAGGGGUGCAUGUAUCUUUUAAAGUUUUUACUUUCUUUAGAUAAAUAACCAGGAGUAGAAUUGCUGAAUGAUAUGGUAGUUCUAUUUUUAAUUUUUUAAGGAACUUCCAUUCUGUUUCCCAUAGUGGCUGCAUCAACUUAGAUGCCCACCAAGAGUGUACAAGGGUUCCCUUUUCUCCACAUCCUCAACAACAUUUAUUAUUGUCGUUUUGAUGAUAGUCAUUCUGAUAGGUGUGAGGUGAUAUCUCAUUGUGGUUUUGAUUUGUAUUUCCUUGAUGAUUAGUGAUGUUGAGCAUCUUAUGUGUUUGUUGACCAUCUAUAUCUCUUCUUUGGAAAAAUGCCUAUUUAUGUAUUCUGCCCAUUUUUAAAAUUGGAUUGUUUGGGUUUUUUGAUACUGUUAUACAUUCUUUACAUCUUUAAGUAUUAACUGCUUAUCAGACAUAUUAUUUGCAAAUAUCUUCUCUGAUUCAGUAGGUUGCCUUUUUGUUUUGUUCAUGGUUUCCUUCACUGUGCAGAGGCUUUUCAGUUUGAUAUGGUCUUAUUUGUUUAUUUUUACUUUUGUUCCUCUUGUCUGAAGAGUCAGACCCACAAAAUAUUUCUAAAAUUGAUUUCAUAGAGGGUAAUGUCUACAUUUCUUCUAGGAGUUUUAGGUUUCAGGUCUUACAUUAAGUCUUUAACCCUUUUUGAGUUUAUUUUUGUACAUGGUUUGAGAAUAUUGUCUAUUUUCGUUUUUAUGCAUGUAGCUGUGCAGUUUUUCUAACACCGCUUAAUAAAGAAACUGUCUUUUCCUCCUUGGAUAUUUUUGCCUCCUUUGUAAUAGAUUAAUUGACUAUGUGUUGGGUUUACUUCUGGGCUCUCUAUUCUGUUUCUUUGAUUAAUAUUUCUGUUUUAAUGUAAGUAUCAUACUGUUUUGAUCACUGUAGCUUUGUAGUAUAGCUUUAAAUCAGGGCGCAUGAUACCUCCAACUUUAUUCUUCCUUCUCAAAAUUACUUUGGAUAUUCAGGGUCAUUUGUUCUUCCAUACAAGUUUUGGUAUUAUUUCUUCUCUAUGAAAUAUGGCAUUGAUGUUUUGAUAAGGAUUUCAUUGAAUCAUUCCUUCUGUAGAUUGCUAUGUGCAAUAUGGACAUUUUAACAAUAUUAAUUCUUUCAAUCCAUGAACAUUUUCCAUUUAUCUGUUCUUCUCACUUAUAACUCUGUUUUUAUCUGCAGAAGUUUUUUUUUCAUGGGGAGGGGAAUCUUUGUCUUUUCAAAAUACCAAGAAAAGAAACAUUUAACUUGCAACACCCAUGGCAGAUGGAAGUUCC